rnacentral:rRNA from 1 species
AUUCCCCUAGUAACUGCGAGUGAAGCGGGAAAAGCUCAAAUUUAAAAUCUGGCGGUUUUGCCGUCCGAGUUGUAAUCUGGAGAAGUGUUUUCCGUGUUGGACCGUGUACAAGUCUCUUGGAACAGAGCGUCAUAGAGGGUGAGAAUCCCGUCUUUGACACGGACUACCAAUACUUUGUGAUACGCUCUCAAAGAGUCGAGUUGUUUGGGAAUGCAGCUCAAAAUGGGUGGUAAAUUCCAUCUAAAGCUAAAUAUUGGCGAGAGACCGAUAGCGAACAAGUACCGUGAGGGAAAGAUGAAAAGCACUUUGGAAAGAGAGUUAAACAGUACGUGAAAUUGUUGAAAGGGAAACGCUUGAAGUCAGUCGCGUUGUCCGGGACUCAGCCUUGCUUCUGCUUGGUGUAUUUCCUGGUUGACGGGCCAACAUCGAUUUUGGACGGCGGAUAAAGAUGGAGGGAAUGUGGCACCUUAGGGUGUGUUAUAGCCUUCUGUCGCAUACGUCGACUGGGAUCGAGGAUCGCAGCACGCCUUUUUGGCCGGGGUUCGCCCACGUAACGUGCUUAGGAUGUUGGCAUAAUGGCUUUAAUCGACCCGUCUUGAAACACGGACCAAGGAGUCUAACAUGCCCGCGAGUGUUAGGGUGGAAAACCCUUGCGCGUAAUGAAAGUGAAAGUUGGGACCUCUGUCAUGGAGGGCACCGACGCCCGGCCUUGAGCUUUUGUGACGGUGCCGCGGUAGAGCGUGUAUGUUGGGACCCGAAAGAUGGUGAACUAUGCCUGAAUAGGGCGAAGCCAGAGGAAACUCUGGUGGAGGCUCGUAGCGAUUCUGACGUGCAAAUCGAUCGUCAAAUUUGGGUAUAGGGGCGAAAGACUAAUCGAACCAUCUAG